GGGAGGUUGGCGGUGGACGCUCCACUCGCCAACCGGGUCAGGUCCGGAAGGAAGCAGCCCUAACGAGUUCCGGGCGGGUCUUUGUCCAGCCUCCCACU
rnacentral:SRP_RNA from 1 species